AAAUUUGAUAGUUCGUCGGCUUCACCUCAAUGAAUGGGAUUAGCGGGGCGUGUCGACUCCACCAAUUCCACCUCCAUGACUGCCGCAGUGUUGUGGUGUGGCCGCGGACGAGAGAUUAUCACGUAACUGUUAUCAUUCCACUGUGGGCGUGACGUGUCAUCUCAGGACAUAGGAACUGGAAGACGAGGAAGCUGCUGUGCUGGUUGCUGCCUUGAUUGCCUUACAUAUUCAGUGCAAGUGUGGUGAUGGCUGAGAAGAUAUCCCCAAAAGUGGUGGUGGUGGGAUCGUGCAUGACAGACUUGAUCAGCAAUUCGCCACGCCUGCCACAGCCCGGAGAGACGCUGCUUGGCCACAAGUUCACGGUGGGGUUUGGAGGGAAGGGUGCCAACCAGUGUGUGGCGGCAACCAGACUUGGAGCCACCACAUCAAUGGUUGCUAUGGUUGGAGAUGACUCCUUUGGUCAUAACUACCUACAGAAUUUCAAGGAGAAUGGUGUGGACACAACCUUGGUAGGGGUGACCAAGGAGGCAGCAACAGGCGCUGCCUCCAUUGUCGUGGAUGCUGCAGGGGAGAACUGCAUCGUCAUUGUUGCCGGUGCAAAUUUGAAGAUGACUCCGUCUGAUGUGGAACAAGCUGAAGGUGUUAUCCAGGGUGCCUCUGUGCUGGUGUGUCAAGGGGAGAUCACUCCAGCAGCAACCCUCGCCGCCCUCAGGCUGGCACAAAAGCACAAGGUGAUGACGGUGAUGAAUGCUGCACCAGCAGAUGUCUCAUUAGAUCCAGCUAUUAUAGAACACUCAGACAUUUUUUGUGUCAAUGAAAGUGAGGCUGAGGCCCUGACAAACCUGAAGGUGAAAACAGUGAAGGAUGCUGAGCAGGCUGCUGAGGCCCUGCUGCAGCGAGGGAGCAGCAGCGUGAUCAUCACCCUUGGCGGGGAAGGGGCCGUGUACUCCACUGCCAAGGGACACACACACAUCACAUCUGAGAAGGUCACCCCGGUGGACACCACAGGGGCAGGAGAUGCCUUUGUGGGGGCACUGGCCUACUACCUGGCCUACCACCCUCAGCUGACCAUGGCUGAGAUGCUGCAGCGCUCAUGCCAAGUAGCCACACGUUCGGUGCUCAGCCCAGGAACACAGAGCAGCUACCCCACCAGAGACCAGCUACCUGCCCACCUGUUCUCCUGAAGCAGUGGUAACUGUGUUAGGUAGGCUGUUGACUAGAAGUGUAGGUGUAGUGUGGCAGUAUCUCCUACUCUCCUACAGACACUAAUGCCUAGUAACACACAGCAGUGGUGACUGAAUUGAGUAGGCCAUAGACUAGAAGGACAGUGUACUGAGUGUAGUGUGUAGUGUCUCUUCCUCGUUUACAGACAUUGAUGUCUAGUAAAGGAGCUGUUAUACUGGGCAAAUUUUCUGUGGAUCUUCAGUCAAACCACAAUUUCUGCUGGCGUGGCUCUCAUUUUCCUGGUUUUCUGACAUCUCCAUGAUCUUCCAAAGAUGCGGUAAAUUUCACUGAAGGUCAACGGUAUUACUCACCAUCAGCAGCAGCAACAAUAACAAGAAACAAGAAGAGGAAGAAGCUACACCCUACUGUCUCAACAUUUGCAAAACUAUGAAUGUUGUUGCCUGGACCAAGGCCUCUGAGGCCACUUUAAUUUAUAAAUUAUGGGACAUGCCAGCUUUGUGGGAUCCCAGGCAUGAAUUGUAUGCAAAAAAAAUGCUUAGAAGGAAGAGUAGAGACACUGGUUUCCUAAGUCGUGUGUCUUUCUUGGCUAUAGAUGGUUGCACAAAGCUUAAUAUUUUGUAAAAUUGGUCCUUGCUGACUCAUCCACUGCCUGUAGCCUUCCUCGUAUUUUAGACGCAGUUCUUGCAACAGCUGCAUCAUUUCACUGCGCUCCUCUCUUCUUGUAAGCCAUUGCCACCUCCACAUUCUUUUCUUUUUCCGUUGCUUGUGUAAAUUGAGUGUCACUAUAGCCAAAGCAAUGGCACUGAAUGAAAACUGGGGUGCGAACAGGGACGUCAGCCAUACUUGUUGUUGUGAAAAUGUAUCAGUCAAGACCACGGUACGCUGAGAGCGUGCAAGGCAAGUGUGAUAGGAAGACAAUGGUAGUAUGUCCACGUAGGCAAAAAUCCACGAUUUUAUGACUGAAGAUCCACAGAAAAUUUGUCCAGUGUAAUAGCCCCUGAACCCCUUCACUCCGGCGACGCCAACGUCGGCGUGGAAAAGGUUAGUCCUCUUCUAAACCUCUUAAUCCUCUUCCAUUUCCUCUUAAUAUUCUUCUAAACCUCUUAAGAGGAAAUGAAAGAGGAUUAAGAGGAAUUUAGAGGAGGAUUGAGAGGUUUAGAAGAGGAUUCAUCCUCUUCCAUUUCCUCUUGACCCUUUCCAUACUGUCAUGCCGACGUCUGCGUCACGGAUGGAAAGGUCUAACACACAGCAGUGAUGACUGUGCUAGGUAGGCUGUAGACUAGAAGUGUAGAAGUGUAGUGUGGUAGUAGGAGAUACAGUAGUGUCUCCUACUCUUCUACAGACAUUGAUACCUAUUAACACACAGCAGUGGUGAUUGUGUUAGGUAGGCUGUAGACUAGAAGUGUAGAAGUGUAGUGUGGUAGUAGGAGAUACAGUAGUAUCUCCUACUCUUCUACAGACAUUGAUGCCUAUUAACACACAGCAGAGGUGACUGUGUUGUGUAGGCUGUAGACUAGAAGUGUAGUGUAUCUCUUACUCCUCUACAGACAUAAUGUCUAGUAACUCAUUUAUAUACCUUUUGUGAAAAUAUUUACAAAAAAGAUCACCUUUUUAUGGUGGUGCUAUUAAAUGUUUGUUGUUUUUGUAUGUUGGUCAAGUGUUGGAUAAGAAUACGUAGGUAUUGGCUGUUCAGAUAAGCUUGUGUGAGAGGUGAUGACUUUCUCAUCAAGUUAUCUGGCUCAGCAGAAGAAAAUUUGAUUAGAAAGCCAGUGGCUAUAUUUAAUAUAGCUGGGUAGGUUAACCUGUUUGCUUCAGUACAACCACCAGUGUCCAGGCAUGGAUAGUGUUGGUUCGGUAUGGCCACUGGUGUCCGUGACCCAUGACACCUAAUUGCAGUAUAUUGUAGGGCAUGUUGACAUGUGGCAAUCCACCUUGCAUGGUCUAAAUACCAUACAGGUCUAAAAACUGCUCAGUUAAGUUGAUCCUCUGCCUCUCCCUCCCUCAGUGUGGGUGAUUGUAAAGAUGGCUAACAAUGGACGAAUUUGGUAAGGGGAAUGCCUGGAUAGCCCUUUAAUUCUUCUUGGACUGGAUGCCAGCCAUCAUAAGUAGAUUUAUUUAUAACGAAAACUACCCACUAACAAAGAUAUUUAAGUGAAAAAAUACACCAGCAGUCACAGAGUAAUAUGCAGAGCAUGCUAACGUACAUUUCAUGAUGCUUGUCUCAUAUUUGGUCCAUGAUAAGCUGUUUCACUACCACUCAAAGCUUCACUCUAGCCGAAGUGGUCGAUUAUGGUGUUGUGCAUGGUGUGGUUGACCUGAUAAUGGCUGGCACUGAGUGUGAGGUUUGCACUGCCAAAGAACAGUGAAUUUUGGGUCUUAAUAAGUCAGUCAUUAAGGAAUACAGAGUAAGUUUGGUGUGCUGAUGUGCCUUCCACUCUGUUAAAACCACUACUGAUGAAAAGUUCAUGUACCUGUGUAUUUUAUGAUAUUUUUGCAUUAGUAAGUUUGUGUUUUUGCAGUACUAUGGUAUUCAGAAUGUUAAUAUGUACCUGGAAUACAAAACUAAUUUUUUAUUCUCACAAUAUUAUGUUCACUGACCUCUG